GCACUCGUGGCGAAAUGGCAGACGCGCAUGCUUCAGGAGCAUGUCCGCUCACGCGGGUGGAGGUUCAAGUCCUCUCGAGUGCACCA
rnacentral:tRNA from 1 species